GAUGAACGCUGGCGGCGUGCCUAAUACAUGCCAGUCGAGCGAACGGACGAGAAGCUUGCUUCUCUGAUGUUAGCGGCGGACGGGUGAGUAACACGUGGAUAACCUACCUAUAAGACUGGUAUAACUUCGGGAAACCGGAGCUAAUACCGGAUAAUAUUUUGAACCGCAUGGUUCAAAAGUGAAAGACGGUCUUGCUGUCACUUAUAGAUGGAUCCGCGCUGCAUUAGCUAGUUGGUAAGGUAACGGCUUACCAAGGCAACGAUGCAUAGCCGACCUGAGAGGGUGAUCGGCCACACUGGAACUGAGACACGGUCCAGACUACUACGGGAGGCAGCAGUAGGGAAUCUUCCGCAAUGGGCGAAAGCCUGACGGAGCAACGCCGCGUGAGUGAUGAAGGUCUUCGGAUCGUAAAACUCUGUUAUUAGGGAAGAACAUAUGUGUAAGUAACUGUGCACAUCUUGACGGUACCUAAUCAGAAAGCCACGGCUAACUACGUG
rnacentral:rRNA from 1 species